rfam:Triticum aestivum genome assembly, contig: Triticum_aestivum_CS42_TGACv1_scaffold_130119_2BL
UGGUUGUUAUUUGAAUCUUACCCGUGCUACUGAUUAAUUAAUGAAGUACAAGGUAAAACAUGGCUGAAUUUCUUAAUAUGAGUCG